AACGGCCAUACCAUGCUGAAUAUACCGGUUCUCGUUAGAUCACCGAAGUCAAGCAUCAUUGGGCGCGGUCAGUACUUGGGUGGGUGACCGCCUGGGAACACUGCGUGCCGUU
rnacentral:rRNA from 1 species